rnacentral:rRNA from 1 species
GGACGAACGCUGGCGGCGUGCUUAACACAUGCAAGUCGAACGGAAAGGCCCUGCUUUUGUGGGGUGCUCGAGUGGCGAACGGGUGAGUAACACGUGAGUAACCUGCCCUUGACUUUGGGAUAACUUCAGGAAACUGGGGCUAAUACCGGAUAGGAGCUCCUGCUGCAUGGUGGGGGUUGGAAAGUUUCGGCGGUUGGGGAUGGACUCGCGGCUUAUCAGCUUGUUGGUGGGGUAGUGGCUUACCAAGGCUUUGACGGGUAGCCGGCCUGAGAGGGUGACCGGCCACGUUGGGACUGAGAUACGGCCCAGACUCCUACGGGAGGCAGCAGUGGGGAAUAUUGCACAAUGGGCGGAAGCCUGAUGCAGCAACGCCGCGUGCGGGAUGACGGCCUUCGGGUUGUAAACCGCUUUCGCCUGUGACGAAGCGUGAGUGACGGUAAUGGGUAAAGAAGCACCGGCUAACUACGUG